rnacentral:rRNA from 1 species
AUUGAACGCUGGCGGCAGGCCUAACACAUGCAAGUCGAACGAGUGGCGGACGGGUGAGUAAUGUCUGGGAAACUGCCCGAUGGAGGGGGAUCACUACUGGAAACGGUAGCUAAUACCGCAUACUAUCGGAUGUACCCAGAUGGGAUUAGCUAGUAGGUGGGGUAAAGGCUAACCUAGGCGACGAUCCCUAGCUGGUCUGAGAGGAUGACGAGCAACCAUGGAACUGAGACACGGUCCAGACUCCUACGGGAGGCAGCAGGGGGGAAUAUUGCACAAGGGGCGCAAGCUUGAUGCAGCCAUGCCGCGUGUAUGAAGAAGGCCUUCGGGUGGUAAAGUACUUUCAGCGGGGAGGCGUUACCCGCAGAAGAAGCACCGGCUAACUCCGUGCCAGCAGCCGCGGUAAUAC